rnacentral:rRNA from 1 species
UACGUAGGGUGCAAGCGUUGUCCGGAAUUAUUGGGCGUAAAGCGCGCGUAGGCGGCUACUUAAGUCGGAUGUGAAAGCCCCUGGCUCAACUGGGGAAGUGCACCCGAAACUGAGUGGCUUGAGUACAAAAAGAGGGUCGCGGAAUUCCCGGUGUAGAGGUGAAAUUCGUAGAUAUCGGGAGGAACACCGGUGGCGAAGGCGGCGACCUGGGUUGAUACUGACGCUGAGGCGCGAAAGCGUGGGGAGCAAACAGG